ACUUAUUACGUCAAUUAACUUUGCGAGUCUUAAGUUAGUUGUGAAGUUUAAUUUAUUUCACGAAUUUAGCCGUAGACUGAGCUACGAUUCGUACGACCAAGCCUACGCCCAGAGUGGCUAGCAAUAGGGUUACCAGAGUCUAAUUUACGUCCAGAGUGGCUAAAUUACGACUUGUGAAUCUAGUUUCGGGUCUUAGUUACAAUUCGAUAAAUAAAUUAAAUAAACAAUUAAUUAAGAAAGCAAAAUAAUUGGUUAAAAUAAGUUCCAAAAAUAUUACA
rnacentral:lncRNA from 1 species